rnacentral:rRNA from 1 species
AUUGAACGCUGGCGGCAGGCCUAACACAUGCAAGUCGAGCGGAGCGGCGGACGGGUGAGUAAUGCCUAGGAAUCUGCCUGGUAGUGGGGGAUAACGUCCGGAAACGGGCGCUAAUACCGCAUACUAUCAGAUGAGCCUAGGUCGGAUUAGCUAGUUGGUGGGGUAAAGGCCUACCAAGGCGACGAUCCGUAACUGGUCUGCGAGGAUGAUCAGUCACACUGGAACUGGGACACGGUCCCGACCCCUACGGGAGGCAGCAGGGGGGAAUAUUGCACAAUGGGCGCAAGCCUGAUGCAGCCAUGCCGGGUGGAGGAAGAAGGCCGUCGGGUUGUAAAGUACUUUCAGCGAGGGGGCGUUACUCGCAGAAGAAGCACCGGCUAACUCCGUGGCAACAGCCGCGGUAAUAC